GAAGAUGCAGAGGAUGGUGGGAACAUCGGGAGGGGGUGACGGAAGGGAAAGGGAGGGAAAAGGCAGAAACAGCGAGAAAGUCGGCCAAUGUCGCCGACAGUGCGUCCCCACGCUUCAGCCUGGGUCCGUCGACGCUAAUUUUCGCCCAAGGCGGCAAAAAACAAGGUUCUGAGGGUGCGACUUGGGGAUUAUAAAAGCGUCGGUGAUAAAAAAUGGCUUGAGGGGGCGUGUUGGGGACGCGUCUGGAGAUGCCCUUAGGCAAUGAACUCAAGUCCGGCAGGUAAGAGUGAUGAAGGAAAUUGUUUGGCAUGAGGUGUGAAAAUUGAUUCAUACGCUGCUUUUCGCCCUGCAUACCAAAUUGACCAAAGGGUUACAGCUAUU
rnacentral:lncRNA from 1 species